CCAGCACCUGCCGUUGCUGCCGGAGGAUGAGCCAGCCGCAGAGGAUGGCGCCCGUGGGCACGGACAAGGAACUCAGUGACCUCCUGGACUUCAGCAUGAUGUUCCCGCUGCCUGUGGCCAACGGGAAGGGCCGGCCCACCUCUCUGGCUGGCGCGCAGUUUGGAGGUUCAGGUCUCGAGGACCGGCCCAGCCCUGGCUCCUGGGGCACCAGUGACCAGAACAGUUCCUCCUUUGACCCCAGCCGGACCUACAGCGAAGGUGCCCACUUUAGCGAGUCCCACGGCAGCCUCUCUUCGUCCACAUUCCUGGGACCUGGGCUUGGAGGCAAGGGUGGUGAGCGGAGCGCGUACGCCCCCUUCGGGAGAGAAGCGGGUGUUGGCGGCUUGACUCAGGCCGGCUUCCUGCCAGGUGAGCUGACUCUCAGCAGCCCCGGGCCACUGUCUCCGUCGGGCCUCAAGGGCAGCUCCCAGUUCUACUCCUACCCCGGCAACCCCCGGCGGAGAGCCGCGGACGGCAGCGUGGCAGACACGCAGCCCAAGAAGGUCCGGAAGGUCCCGCCAGGUCUUCCAUCCUCGGUGUAUCCGCCCAGCUCAGGUGACGACUAUGGCAGGGACACCGCCGCCUACCCAUCUGCCAAGACCCCCGGCAACACCUAUCCCAGCCCCUUCUACAUGGCAGACGGCAGCCUGCACCCCUCCACCGAGCUCUGGAGCCCCACAGGCCAGGUGGGCUUUGGGCCCAUGCUGGGUGGGGGCUCGUCCCCCCUGCCCCUCCCUGCAGGCGGUGGCAGCUCCGUGGGCAGCAGUGGCAGCAGUGGUGGCACGUUUGGUGGCCUGCACCAGCACGAGCGCAUGGGUUACCAGCUGCACGGCGCGGAGGUGAACGGGGGGCUUCCGGCUGUGUCCACCUUCUCCUCAGCCCCUGGAGUCGCGUAUGGCAGCGUCUCCAGCCACACACCGCCCGUCAGUGGGGCUGACAGCCUGAUGGUCUCGCGAGGGACCACAGCCGGCAGCUCCGGGGACGCCCUUGGGAAGGCGCUGGCCUCGAUCUACUCCCCGGAUCACUCAAGCAAUAACUUCUCCUCCAGCCCCUCCUCCCCCGUGGGCUCCCCACAGGGUCUGGCAGGGACGUCGCAGUGGCCCCGCGCAGGAGCCCCCGGUGCCUUAUCCCCCAGCUAUGACGGGGGUCUCCACGGCCUGCAGAGCAAGAUGGAAGACCACCUGGACGAAGCGAUCCACGUGCUCCGCAGCCACGCCGUGGGCACGGCUGGUGACAUACACGGACUGCUGCCCGGCCACGGCGCGCUGGCCUCGGGCUUCGCCGGCCCCAUGCCCAUUGGCGGGCGGCAUGCUGGCCUGGUAGGAGGCGGCCACUCGGAGGACAGCCUCACAGGCAGCGCCAGCCUCCUGCACAACCACGCGGCACUGCCCAGCCAGCCCGGCGCCCUCCCCGACCUCUCUCGGCCGCCCGACACCUACAGCGGGCUCGGGCGCGCGGGCGCAGCAGCCGGUGCCGGCGAGAUCAAGCGGGAGGAGAAGGAGGAUGAGGAGAACACGUCGGUGGCCGACAACUCGGAGGAGGACAAGAAGGAGCUGAAGGCCCCCCGGACACGGACCAGCCCAGACGAGGACGAGGACGACCUUCUCCCCCCAGAGCAGAAGGCCGAGCGGGAGAAGGAGCGCCGAGUGGCCAAUAACGCCCGCGAGCGGCUGCGGGUGCGCGACAUCAAUGAGGCGUUUAAGGAGCUGGGGCGCAUGUGCCAGCUGCACCUCAACAGUGAGAAGCCCCAGACCAAACUGCUCAUCCUGCACCAGGCCGUGUCGGUCAUCCUGAACUUGGAGCAGCAAGUGCGAGCAGUACAGAGGAGGUGCUGUCCCUGGAGGAGAAAGACCUGAGGGACCGGGAGAGGCGCAUGGCCAAUAACGCGCGGGAGCGGGUGCGCGUGCGCGAUAUUAACGAGGCCUUCCGGGAGCUGGGGCGCAUGUGCCAGCUGCACCUCAAGUCGGACAAAGCGCAGACCAAACUGCUCAUCCUGCAGCAGGCCGUGCAGGUCAUCCUGGGCCUGGAGCAGCAGGUGCGAGAGCGUAACCUGAACCCCAAAGCUGCCUGCCUGAAGCGGCGAGAAGAGGAGAAGGUGUCCGGUGUGGUCGGAGACCCCCAGAUGGUGCUUUCCGCUGCCCACCCCGGCCUGAGCGAGGCCCACAACCCCGCCGGGCACAUGUGAAAGGUACGCCGUCGUGGGACGAGUGACCCAGCCUGGCCCUGCGUCCUGGGCUCAGGUCUGACCCAGAACAGUCAAUGCCAGGCACUGGGUGUUCGGCCACUCGGUGGGGCAGACGUGCCACGCCUCACACACACCCAUUGCCAGCGUUGAGCCAACACCUGACCCACCAAGGUUCCAAGUGACCAGGGCUGCGCAGGCGAUACCGGCGUGGGGGAGCUGCCCGGCUCCCCGGCCUCACCCCUGACUGUCCUCAACCCCCUGCGCCAAGUCUCGGCCGCCGUGGCGCCCGUGACGUGUUCCCUGGACCCUGAGCUCUCUCUGGGCCCCGUUGCCUGGGCGGAAAGGAGUAUUUUUGGGGAGGGGUGGGGAACAAAACUGAAAGCAAGCAACAAAAUAUACACUUUGUCAGAAAAGAAAGAAAAUGCCUUAACUCUGAAACGAGAACCGAAACAUAUCACUCGCGGGAGACGCUGUGCAAACGCGGCUUGUUCUUCAGAAGCCGCCAGCAAAUCGUGCCUAAGCCUAUUUUUUUUUUAAGGAGGAUAAAAAGAACGUUACUUAUGAG